rnacentral:rRNA from 1 species
AGAGUUUGAUCAUGGCUCAGGAUGAACGCUAGCUACAGGCUUAACACAUGCAAGUCGAGGGGAAACGAUAUUGGAAGCUUGCUUCCGAUAGGCGUCGACCGGCGUACGGGUGAGUAACGCGUAUCCAACCUGCCCACCACUUGGGGAUAACCUUGCGAAAGUAAGACUAAUACCCAAUGACGUCUCUAGAAGACAUCUGAAAGAGAUUAAAGAUUUAUCGGUGAUGGAUGGGGAUGCGUCUGACUAGCUUGUUGGCGGGGUAACGGCCCACCAAGGCGACGAUCAGUAGGGGUUCUGAGAGGAAGGCCCCCCACCAUUGGAACUGAGACACGAUCCAAACUCCUACGGGAGGCAGCA